rnacentral:lncRNA from 1 species
GUGCAUUUUGGGGGAUUGUGCUAAUGAAUUCAGGAAUCACAGGGUGCCUUGGGAGCUGUCAUCAGUCUCUUUUCCCCCUAGCUCAUCAUCCAUGAUCUGAUUCUCUUAAAAGAUCAGAAAGAAAAGACUUGAUUUUGUAGUGUUUGCAUGGGAUCUUGGAAGGAGAGAAGAAAACUGAACAAAGAUUUACAGCCUUUGAACCAGAGGAGAGCCCAUCACCACCUCAAGCCUGAUCCUUUGUGUACAAGGCAGAGCAAAGAAGAAGUAAGAUUUCUUCCUCAGUCUCUUUUGUGUACAGGAAGUCCUGGGCCUUCUCCCAUCAGAAAUCUGACUCAGCAGGGAACAAAUGGGUCAGGUUCCCAUAUUAUAUUUGUGUCAGGACAGCAAAGGGAAGGCAAAGUUUGUAUUCAGAACCAUCAAGAAGAAGACCUGGAUCUAAGAGGCAAAGCUGUUAGAGUAAAGUAA